rnacentral:lncRNA from 1 species
CAAAGCAAUGUUUUCAGGUUCCACAUGUUUCUCGUGGAAACCAUUUUCACAUAUGCUUUCUUUGUGGAUUAUUUAUUACUUGUUUGAGAUGCUUGGCUUUUUGAGGUGUACCCCUUAGACUUAAAUCAGGGGUAGUAUAGCAUUCCUACCCUACAGUCUCAGGUUCCAGUCCUCUUCAGAGUUGUUCAUUAAGCUCUGUUAUCCACAUUACACAUUUAAAUGUUAUUUAUUGACCUCCUUAAAAUGUUUCAAAGAUAAAGGAGUACAGCAUAUAAAGAAAAAAAAUCCUUCAACAUGUGUUUGUACUCCUGUUUCUAGCCUGAACUGUCAACCAAGGUAACAACCAAAAUUAACAGAUUAAUAUGUAUCAUUCUAUCGCUUUCUUCCUACUUAUAUUUAAAAUAUAUGCUCUUUUGGGGAAGGAUUGUUUCUUAAUAUUAUCGUUGUUACAACACAUCAUACUUCAACCUGAUUUUUGCACUUAGUACAUCAUGUGAAGCCUUCCAGAUCACAUUCAAGCUUAAUUCAUAAGUUUUGAUUGCUGUAUAAUAUUAUUAGAGCUAUUUUUUUUCAUUUUCUU